rnacentral:rRNA from 1 species
UACGUAGGGUGCAAGCGUUGUCCGGAAUCAUUGGGCGUAAAGCGCGCGUAGGUGGCUUCGUAAGUCCGUUGUGAAAGUCAAAGGCUCAACCUUUGAAUGCCGAUGGAUACUGCGAAGCUAGAGUACGGAAGAGGCGAGUGGAAUUCCUGGUGUAGCGGUGAAAUGCGCAGAUAUCAGGAAGAACACCCGUGGCGAAGGCGGCUCUCUGGUACGUGACUGACGCUGAGACGCGAAAGCGUGGGGAGCGAACAGG